UACGUAGGGGGCAAGCGUUGCUCGGAAUCACUGGGCGUAAAGCGCACGUAGGCGGGUUGCUAAGUCAGGGGUGAAAUCCUGGAGCUCAACUCCAGAACUGCCUUUGAUACUGGCGGCCUUGAGUCCGGGAGAGGUGAGUGGAACUGCGAGUGUAGAGGUGAAAUUCGUAGAUAUUCGCAAGAACACCAGUGGCGAAGGCGGCUCACUGGCCCGGUACUGACGCUGAGGUGCGAAAGCGUGGGGAGCAAACAGGG
rnacentral:rRNA from 1 species